rnacentral:lncRNA from 1 species
CCCGCCGGCAUUUCUGGUCUGAUCCUAUGAUUUGGUAUGUUCGUCAGUUUUGGCAUGAUCCUCCUUCCUGUUGUUAGUUGCGUGUACUGUUUUAUGGUUAGAUCUAUCCCUUUUCGUCUGUUGAGUGUGGUAUUUCCCCUGCAGCUAGUUUAGAUGUAUGUGGUUUGCGUUGUUUACUGGCAUUGAAUCCGGUGAAUUCGGGUUGUUGAUGUGCGCCUGGAUAUUCCCUUGCAGCUAGGUAUUUCAAUUUGGACACGCUGAAAUCAUGUUCAGUGAGUUCAAUCCCCUGGAACACGCUGGAUUCUCUAGUGUUUUAUAUCCCCUGUGCCGUUUGCUGAUGUAGGUUUGUAUGUAUUGUUUCAUUGCCUAUCUAUCACUAUGAGAUUGCUAUAGAUUGUCCAUGUCAUGAUUGCCU